AGACAGGCUCAUCCUUCCCUCCUAUCUCAUCCCCACUUCACUUCAUAUUCUGUUUUCCUGUGUUCUACUAUGCUCAGUAUCUAUGAGCAUCUCCUGAACCGAGAAGAAUGAAGGAAAAACGAAAGAGCAUCCUAAUCCUGGCUGUGGCUCAAUAAAAACGAGUGGGCUGCACAUCCAUCUAUUCAAAAAUCUUUGGCAGGAUUACUCGGAUUACAGAAUUAUGAUGAUGAUGAAGAUUUAGACGGGGAUAUCUAGCUAAGCAUUGGAAAACCAAAAAGAAGCGGAGUACUACUAUUACUUCUACUACAUCACUACUAAUGUGCCCACUUUGAAAUUCUGAAUUAAUGGCAUCGUAAAUCUGGUUUACUCUGGUUCAGGCAGCUGGCUCAGUUCUGACCGAGUGCGACUAUAACACCAGAUGUCGUAAGGAUCUUCCGAUAGAUCUCUCAGUACCGGUAUUCAUCGUAGAACUAUACGUCACUACGAUUUGAGAUUCCGAAGGUCACUCAGCGCGUGGGACGAUGUAGCUUCACAAAUGGAAAGUAGAGAGUGGGAGGACAAAAAACGAAGAAUCGGACUGCACAGGACGAGACAGGAAAUUGUUUAGGAAUCUACAACGAGGAGUGAGGACGAAGAAGAAGACGAAGAGUCGCAUCUUCCGCCAACACACUUUUUGCACAUACACACAUGCUUCAUCGUAUUCUUGGAGAUUUCUGCUCCAUCUUUUAAACAAAGAAGUAUAAACUGC
ensembl:lincRNA linc-126 ncRNA